UUAAAUUGAAGAGUUUGAUCAUGGCUCAGAUUGAACGCUGGCGGCAGGCCUAACACAUGCAAGUCGAACGGUAACAGGAAGAAGCUUGCUUCUUUGCUGACGAGUGGCGGACGGGUGAGUAAUGUC
rnacentral:rRNA from 1 species